CGGCGGACGGGUGAGUAACACGUGGAUAACCUACCUAUAAGACUGGGAUAACUUCGGGAAACCGGAGCUAAUACCGGAUAAUAUAUUGAACCGCAUGGUUCAAUAGUGAAAGACGGUUUUGCUGUCACUUAUAGAUGGAUCCGCGCCGCAUUAGNUAGUUGGUAAGGUAACGGCUUACCAAGGCAACGAUGCGUAGCCGACCUGAGAGGGCGAUCGGCCACACUGGAACUGAGACACGGUCCAGACUCCUACGGGAGGCAGCAGCC
rnacentral:rRNA from 1 species